rnacentral:pre_miRNA from 1 species
AUUAGGAGAACGGAAAACGAUUCUUUUCUAAGUACUAGUGCCGCAGGAGAGAUAUAAACCCCUGCUGCCCAAGUGCUUAUCAAAGAGUUGGAUAGUACAACAUAUA